AUUGAACGCUGGCGGCAGGCCUAACACAUGCAAGUCGAGCGAGCGGCGGACGGGUGAGUAAUGUAUGGGGAUCUGCCUGAUGGCGGGGGAUAACUACUGGACACGGUAGCUACUACCGCAUACCAUCAUAUGAACCCAUAUGGGAGUAGCUUGUAGGUGAGGUAACGGCUCACCUAGGCGACGCUCCCUAGCUGGUCUGAGAGGAUGAUUAGCCACACUGGGACUGAGACACGGCCCAGACUCCUACGGGAGGCAGCAGUGGAGAAUAUUGCACAAUGGGAGCAAGCCUGAUGCAGCCAUGCCGCGUGGAUGAAGGAGGCCUUCGGGUUGGAAAGUACUUUCAGUCGGGAAGCGUUACCGACAGAAGAAGCACCGGCUAACUCCGUGCCAGCCGCCGCGGUAAUUC
rnacentral:rRNA from 1 species